rnacentral:lncRNA from 1 species
UCUGCUUUUAAUAUAAAAACGGCAUCAAACCAUGGCGUUUGCAUAUGCUCCACCAGAAAUGGAAGCUAAGAGAGGCAAAGAUCCUUAAUUUGCAGGCUUCAAUGGUGGUUUUCCAAGAAGAGCUGACAUGGGUUUAUGGUGUAUUCCAUCUCUUGCACACUGGACCAGUAAAUUUCGGCCACUUCAGCACUGGUUGGUGUGCAAGUGAUGGAAUACAUCAUUGAUCUAUGCAGGAAAAAAGAAAAAAAAAAAAAACUAAGUAUCCAACCCAUGUUUCUUCUUCAAUGGAGGUGAGUUCUAUUAUAACUCAGGCAAACUUAUUAUAUACAACCACAGAAUUAAAACAGCUCUUCAUCGUUGAGUAAUUAUAAAAAUAUUAGGUUAAAAUUUUAAUUUAGUGGCCAAAAUUUCCUCAUAAUUUGUAAUUCCUAAUUUUAAUAUUAAUUCCUAUUUUUUGUAGGUUUUACAUUAAUAAAACAAAAUCUAACGUUACUUACUUUAAAUAAAUAUAAGCUACAAUUAUAUUAAAAUGAUGUUAUAAAUUGUUUUCGUACAUUUUUAAAUUUAAAUUAGUUAAUGAUUAGAAGUAUCAUUCGAUUGAUUUAAUUUAAAAUUAAAUUAAAUUAAAUAAAUUAAAAAUUAAAAUUUUAAUAUUUAUAAAAAUCAAAUCGAAUCGAUUUUAAUUAGAAAUUUAAUUGAAAUGUACCGAUUUGAUUGGUUUAAAUUUUUAAUAAAUUUUUUAUUUUUUAUUUUUUAAUAUUUUAAAAUUUAAUCGAAAUAUUUUAAUUAUAAUAUGAUAUAAUUUUUUUAUAUUAUUAAAAAUAAUAUAUUAUUAUUGUUAAUUGGUUCGGUUUAAUUUUUUUAUUUUUUUAAUUAAAACCAAACCGAACAAAAAUAAUUAAAAUUUUUAAAAUUAAAAAUUAAACGAAUUAAAAUAAAAAAAUUAAAUUUAAAUUUUAAAUUAAUUCAAUUGAAACAAUUUUUUUAAUUUAAAUUAAAUGCUGCUGCCCACAACUAUUUAAAAAUUAAUACAUUGGACAAAUGGGUAAUCCAGUUUUUCACUUACCACAAUCCUAACAUGCUGGGCCCCAAUUUUUUCAAUAAAAAGCAUAUUACAAUGUACAAUCUGAUCUCCAUCUUUCAUCACCGUAUUUUCAGAAUUUCUCCUUUUUAUAAAAGAUAAAAUACAUACACUAAAUUUAAAGAUAAAAAUGAAUUAUUAUUAAAAUCAUAAUAAUUUUGAUAAAAUUUUUUAUCUUAUAUAAAUUUUACUCAUAUGUAUUUCAUACUUAUUUUUUUUUUUAAAUAUAACUCAUCCAAUUAAAAUUCGAACUCAAAAUUUUUUAUUCCGUAAAAGAACAGUACGAUGUACACUUAUUCCAUCUCUUAUUUGCUUUUUCUUCGAUUGCUAAACACUUCUAUUACGUCGUCACUUAGACAAAUGAAGAACUCAGAUCCUAUCAGUAGAUUUGUUGCUUAUUAGGACGAAACAAACCAAAAUUUCUGGUUUCUCCAAUAGCUUGAUUCUGUAAGUAUAAAUUAUAUAUAAAAAUCUGAUUUGGCCAUCUACUCUUUGGUGAUUUGGCAGCUGCUGACAAACGCUUAAACACAUUCAAAAUAUACGUUUCAGCAUUCUGAGGGGUUGCAAGAUCAACACCUGGAGAAAUUGGCCAUCCAGUUUCACUUACGUAAACCUUCACAUCUAAAACUCCAACUUUUUCCAUGGCAAACAUAAAAGCGUCAAUCAACCCAUCAAGCAUAUUUGUAUAUCCAAUGUUUCCAUCUUGAACCAUCACAGUAGAUGAGCUGUGUAGAGCAUAAUCCAAGGCAAUGUCCUUGUAAGCUGGAUUCUGCUUAUAAGCAUAGUAAGGAUACAAAUCACACAACAUAACAGGAGAACCUUGUUGAAGAAAUUCAACAAUAGGUUUAAUUGUAAUCAUAUAUCUAGCAUCAAAGGUCGCUGCAGAUGGAGGGUGAAUUUCCGACAGCCAGUUUAUGUUUACUGGGGUGGUCACGUAGAUGGUCAGCAGUUCUUCAUCAGUAUGCAAUAUAUCUUUUAGGGCUUGCAUGGCAGGAACCAAAGCUUGUGCCAAUCUAUCUCCAGGGUUUAUGCCAUGUCCAACAGCUAUCAUUGUAAACCCUACUGCUCCUUUAUAUGGCCUGACGUAAGUAUUGACCCAAUUUUCAGCGAAGCCUUUUGUAAAGGCUAGCUUUACAAUGUCUUCAUUUCCAACCCCCAGAAUCACUUCCAAGGCUGAAUGUUGUAGGGCAUUUAGGGCAUCUUUAUGUGGCUUGUAAAGCCGAAUCUUUCUUAGGCCUUUUUGCCUGCAGAGAUCUAUAGUUUCUUGUGCAGGCGGCAGGUUGUUUGCAAGCCUUGAAUAGGUCACGCCGAUGCUCACCGGAGGAAAGGCUCCUGCAUGCAUGUCAAGAUAAAACUUCAUUGAUUAGAAGCUGCAAAUUACUAACACCCCAUUUGGAAUAAUUCUUAUGAUAGAAAAUUGAUAUGAGUUUGUAAGAAAAUUAAUGGUAAAACAGAAACAUACCAGCUAGAUUCUGAAACUGACUCAAAAACAGAUAAGUUAAUACUCCAUGGAAUAAAGAAGAAAACAUUGAAACUAGAGGUACUUGAUCUUUAACCGAUUUUCUUGGAAUUUGAAGAAUUUUAUCGUAUUAAUGCGUUCAUCUGAUGGAAUUUGGGUGAUUGGCUUCUUGUUUCUUUUGCAUAUAAGAAAAGCUAGAAGCUAAUUAAGAUGGAUUCUGGGUUGAUUUCCCUUAGAGGAAAAUUUUGUUGUGGCCUGAAAUCAUCACCAUCUCGAAAUGCAAUCACAUUCACUACCUUCAUAUAUGCUAUUUUGAGCCCUGGAACCUGAAAGAUAAUUACUAAUGGAUGUUGGAUUUCUUCCGCACAAUAUAUCCUAUCAAUUUUUUGCCACAUUUUUUCUAUAAAUUAUUUGGCAUUUAAAAAUUAACUUAUUAAUUUAGAGUCACACCGAACAAAUUUAUUAAAAAUACUACUGAAAAUUUUAAUUUUUUUAAAGAAAAUUUGAAAUAUAUCAAUUUUAGAAAAUAAAAGAUGCUUUGAUUUUAAUUUGGAUUUACAAAAUUUUGAUUUGAUUUUAAUACUAAUUAAAUAGGUUUAAUUUCAAAUUUAAAUCAGAAUUUUCUCAUGUCUAAAUUUGGGGCGAGGCAUUUUGUCAUGCCCACUUGUUUUUUCUUGUUGUGGGUUGGCUUUUUAGAGUAUUUGGAUCAUGAUGAUGGUCAAGGUUUCUUGCUUGGGUCUAGUCACACACACAUUUAGUGGAUAAUGUUUUAAUUUAUUUCUUUAUAUAGCCCAAGAUUAAUCUUUAAUUUAAAACUUUCAGUUUUGUUUUUUCAAUGAGUUGGUCUGACGUAAUUCAAAUCAGUAACUUCAGACGGUGACAAAUGCAGGAAUGUAAUUUAGGUUUAAUUUAAAUAAAUAAUUAAAGUAAAUAAAAUAUAUUAUCUCUAAUUUUAUUAUUUUAUCAUUUUUUUAUUAUUAUCCUAAAAUUAUUAUUUAUAUUAAUCAAUUUUGCAUUUGCUUGUAUACAAUUUGGACCAAAUUUUUCUCAAAAUUACAUAGUUUUUCUCAAAUGUUAACAGUCAUUGCAUGGACAAGAUGCUGAUUUCAGAAUAAAUUAAGGAUUAUAAUGCCAUAAUCCCAUUGUGUAAAUCACUUUUUCUGAUAAUUUUUGCAAUGAUCAUCAAUGGGAUGAGGAAAAAAAAUCAAUUGAUCUACCAAUAUUGCAUUUCAUCAAGAAAGGAAAAGAAGAUUAAUGAGCUCUAAUAUGAGCAUGGGAUAUUGUAAAGUAGUCAAAGUCAGAAGAUUAUGUAGCCAAAUAUGGUACCAUGUCAACUGCACAUAAAGAGGUACAUAAAGCUAACAAAAUCAGAUGGCAUAGAGAGAAAAUAGAAAGGGGGACUUCGACCAAAAAAAAAUAAAAAUACACAUUUCUCUUCUAAUUUCAACCUAAUUAUCCUCUCAAUACUUGCUAACUAAACUUUUUUUUGGGGAGGGGGCAGGAAAGGGACAAAACCCAGAAGAUAAACCAAAAGAACAGCAUCAUUUUAGACCAUUUCCAGGAGUUGAAAUAGCAAGAUCAGGCCAAGAAAAGCAAUCCCCACCAACAAAUCCAUUAUCUCCACUCUCAAACUGCCACGUGUUACCCAUUCCGCCUGACAUACCACCGUGGCCUCCGCCAUCACCAGCACCAACAUCUCCCACACUAGGAAAAGGCCACACCCCUCUCCCAAGCCCACAGCCCAUGUCCUCAAACCCAGACCCUAGACCAAGCCCAAAUCCUCCCAGCGCCAAAAACCCAGGUCCCUGAGUAUUCAACAAAGAAGUAAAGCUCCCGCAAACAGCAGAAUCAGCCGUGGUGCUACUCCCACCACCCUUCCCAUGGCCGCCACCACAGCCAAACUGAACGGACGUUGCAUGAUUGGUCAUGAGUGGCACCAAUACAGGAGUAGCAGGUAAUGGGAAAUUAUCACCUGCUGUGGUUGUUAUGGGUCCAAUAAAAUUUGCAGUAGCAGCAGUACGUGACCGCUUAGCAUUCUUGCGGGUGCCGCCACCAACAGGGAUGUCACGGAGGGUGCCACCAUGGGUCCAAUAACGGCGACAGGACUUACAGAAGUGGCGUGGCUGGGAGAAAUUAUAGUUGUUGUAGUAACAAAACUUAGUAUUGGUGGAAUCACAGCGAGGGCAAGGGAGGUGCUCUUGCUCAGGAGGUGGAGCUCCGGCGGUGUGGGGUUUGGUUAAUCUUCGAGUUUCAGUGGAAGUAUCUGAUGGCAUUUUGAGAAAUGAGAAUUGGGUAAGUGAUUGAGAAAGAAGGAGAUGAAAAGAAAUGUGGCGAAGGAAGAAUGUGGAGAUGGUGGAAGUAUGGAUUGAGUGUGGACAGCGAAGGUCCUUUUAUGGCGAGAGAGAGAGAGAGAGAGAGAGAGAGAGAGACUGAAAGGUUCUGAGUUCUGAGAGAUAUAUGAACAGAGAGGAGAGAGAGAGAGAGUGCAGCUUUACAGUGUUCUGUUAGGCACGACAUUUUCAGUCGGCUCCUCCUCAUCUUGAACGGGUCGGCGGCUGUUCUCAGCUAGGUACGCGGCUUCUGUGUUUUUAUUUCCACGUUUGCAUUUAAUAUAGACCCUAUUUUAUUAUUAAAAUAAAAUUUAUAAAAUAAAUAUUAAUUAUUCUAAAAUUAUAUUUUCAAAAAAAUUAUUAUUUAAUUUUUAUUUCAUUGAAAAUUGUAUUAGUUGAUGAUCUGAUUUUAAAAAUUUACAUUAAAUGUACUCAAAACUUUAAAAAAUUUUAUUAAUUAAUAUAUUUUAUUAUUUAAUUUUUAUAAUAUAAAAAAUCAUUAAUUAGUGUUUCAAUUUUAUAAAAAUAUAUAUUUUUACUGUAUAUAAUUUUGUUUAUUUUAUUUUUCAUAAAUAUUAAAAAAAAUAAUUUUUUAAUUAACUUUUUUCAUUAUAUCUAUUUUAAAAAUAUUAAAUUUAUUAAAUAUUAAAUUGUAUUUUAAGUGAUUUUUUAAAAAUAAAAUAAAAUUAUAAAACUCAAUUUAUAUAUUAUUAUAAUAUAUUAAGAAAUAAAUAAUAAUUUUAAGAUAAUCAUAAAAAAAUAUAAAGAAAAAUUAUGGGGUAAAAAAAAUAUACAGUCUAUCUAUAUUAUAUUAAAGAUAUUUUAAAUUUUUAUACAAUAUUUAAUCACUACACUUAAUAAAAAUAAAUUAAUUAAUUAAUUUUUUAAAAUAUUAAAAAUAUUUUAUUUUUUAAAAUCAAGUAAUUAAUUAACUAAUUUUUUAUAUUAUAUUAACUAAAUAAUAUAUAUAUUUUUAAAUUAUAUAUGUAGUGGUGGAUCCAUUAAAGAAAUAUUUAAAUCUUUAGAUCAGAAUCAUAAGAACUUGGAUUUUAUAAUCCAAACUAGAUUAAUUUCCCUCAUUAUCUAAAAUUUAUUAAUUAAUAUAUGUAUGAAUUUAUUUCCAUAGUGGAUUAAUAUUCAGCAAUAAAAAAAUAUCUUAACUAGAUAAUUCAUCGUAACUAAACAUAACCAAGUUUUUCUUUAUUUUCAAUUUUUUAAACAAGAAUUUCAAAAUAUAUAUAUUCAAUAGUUAAGCAUUCGAUUAAUUUUUUAUUAUUAAUUAAAUAUUUUUUAUUUUAUUUUUUAUAAUUUAAUCUAUUUCUUUUUAUUCGGUGACAGUGAAGGAUGUGAUGAGUUAGGUAGAGGCAAUAAAAUUAUUGAUAAAGAAAAAAAGGAAACUACAUAGGAAUUGAUGGGUCCAUCUUAUUUGAUUUUUCCAUGCAUUUAUCCUAGAGCAAUAAUUUCCCCAAAAACUAAAAAAAAAAAAAAAAAACACAUUAUUCACUAAGGAACAUUGGGUGACAUAUAAUAUAUUUUUAGUUAUUUUUAUAUAAAAAAUAAUAAAUUAAUUAAAAUUAAUAAUAAUGGUAUCAAAAUCCUUUUCCAUCAACCUGAAAUCACAGCAUGAUGACGAUGAUGAGUAGAUAAAUAAUACAAGUGGAUUGCAGCUCACACCAUGCGAGAAAAUUCUAACUUGGCCUUAGAAAAAAAAAAAAAAUACAAAUUGUCAUCCAACACAUAACUGUAAUCAUUUGAAAAACAGAUAAGCGCAUAUGGCCAAAUGCCAAUGAUGUGCUAGUGUCAGCUUCAGCUUCUUUCUUCCCUACUCACUCUUGGACUUAUAUAAUAUAUAUAUUUUUUUUUAAAAAGCCAAGAUUAUGCCAUACACUAAUCAAAAGAUUAUAAAAAUAAUUCAUAUUAGAUUCCCAAAUUGCAUAGAUUUUGUGGGCUACACAUCCUCCCAUUAUACUUAGCUCAAUCCUAUCAUUACUUGCUAAUUUUUUUUUAUGUGCAUACAUAUUAAUAUUUUACAUAGCAUACAAAUUAUUAUCUUAUGAUUAAACUUGAUUUCUUUGUUUAUAAUAUCUAAUAUGGAAUUAAAAUUAUUUGUAUUUGUGUAUAUAUAUAAAAAAAAAUUGGAAAAUGGGAAUUAAAUUUGUAAUUGUAAAUAUAAAAAAAAAGGGGAAAUAAAUUGAAAGAGGGAGUGUGGGGCUAGAACUUGAAUAAGCUAGGCGGUUAGGUAAGCAAAAGACAGUGAAGUGAGAGAAUGAGAGCGACGAGAAGAGGUUGCCUCGGUGGUAAGACCGACAGAAUCAUGGAUGUCGGAGUAGCGUGGAUAGUAAUUAUUGGAUCUUCCCUCUGAUUUCGGACGCGUCGUGUCCGCAUCAGAUUCCUCCUCCGUACACUAUCACCUAUCUCUUCCCGGAUUUCUCGCUUCACUGUUCUCCUCACCAAACUACACUCUUCCCAUCCUUCCAUCCUCACCCUUGAUUCUUUUCUUCUCAAAUCCUACGGCUGUUGUCCAAAGUUUGCAUCAUUCAUCAUGAUCGUUUUUUUCAUUUUUCUGUCAUCAUAAUUUAAAUGUUUUAUAUAUUUUUAAUAUUCUCAUUUAAAUUUGAAAAAUAAAAAGGAAAAAAGUUGAUUUUAAUAAUUAUUAAUUAUUUGUACAUGUGAUACAAUGCAAAGCACGCACUUAUCCAACGUUGAUUUCGUUGGACGGACGGUCCACGUCCUUUCUAACAUGAGAUAUCAACCAUUCACCUUUUUCUUCAUUUUAUAUUAUUAUUUUUACUUAUUAUUAUUUGCAAAUUAAGUUAAUGAAUACCCACCUCGAAAUUUUAAAAAUUAAAAUUUUUUUAUUGCAAAGGUAAGAAUUAAAUUAUGAAUUUUGUUUUGUAAAUUAAAUUACCCUUCGAUUUAAUAUAGAUAUUUCUUACUAAUGUGGAAAAUGAAUCCAGCUGCAGCCAAAUUCGUGAGAUAAUCGUAACGAAAGGGUGCAAGUGAAGAAGUCAGGGUGUGGGGUCCG